GCGUCGGGGCCACCAGCAGAAGAUCCGCAGCACGAGGUACCUGUGCACGGGGAGGUGCACACGAUCGCGGGGGGCUUCUCUCCUCCUCGCCCCAGGCACGAGCGCAGGUAAUCGGUUAGGCCUUCCUCACCCCAAGCGCAAGCAUGGCAACCGGUUUAAAGUCCUCCUCACCCCAGGUGUGAGUGCUGGCAGCUAAGGUUCGAAAAGCCAGGGGUGCUAGUAAGCCCAAGAAGGGAAAGGAAGGAUUUCGAGAAACGCCUUUACCC
rnacentral:lncRNA from 1 species